UACGAGGGGUGCAAGCGUUGCUCGGAAUUAUUGGGCGUAAAGGGUAGGUAGGUGGUCUUAUUUGUCUGAUGUGAAAGCCUUGGGCUUAACCCAAGAAGUGCGUCAGAAGCGGUGAGACUAGAGUCCUGGAGAGGGUCGUGGAAUUCCCGGUGUAGCGGUGAAAUGCGUAGAGAUCGGGAGGAACACCAGAGGCGAAGGCGGCGACCUGGACAGGUACUGACACUCAACUACGAAAGCGUGGGGAGCAAACAGG
rnacentral:rRNA from 1 species